AUUGAACGCUGGCGGCAGGCCUAAAACAUGCCAGUCGAGCGAGCGGCGGACGGGUGAGUAAUGUCUGGGAAACUGCCUGAUGGAGGGGGAUAACUACUGGAAACGGUAGCUAAUACCGCAUACGAUCAGAUGUGCCCAGAUGGGAUUAGCUAGUAGGUGGGGUAACGGCUCACCUAGGCGACGAUCCCUAGCUGGUCUGAGAGGAUGACCAGCCACACUGGAACGGAGACACGGUCCAGAUUCCUACGGGAGGCAGCAGUGGGGAAUAGUGCACAAUGGGCGCAAGCCUGAUGCAUCCAUGCCGCGUGUAUGAAGAAGUCUUUCGGGUUGUAAAGCACUUUCAGCGGGGAGUCGUUACCCGCAGAAGAAGCACCGGCUAAGUCCGUGCCAGCAGCCGCGGUAAUAC
rnacentral:rRNA from 1 species